rnacentral:rRNA from 1 species
UACGUAGGUGGCAAGCGGUUUCCGGAAUUAUUUGGCGUAAAUCGCGCGCAGGUGGUCCUUUAAGUCUGAUGUGAAAGCCCACGGCUCAACCGUGGAGGGUCAUUGGAAACUCGGGGACUUGAGAGCAGAAGAGGAAAGUGUAAUUCCAAGGGUAGCGGUGAAAUGCAUAGAGAUUUGAAGGAACGCCAGUGGCGAUGGCGACUUUCUGGUCUGUAACUGACGCUGAGGCGCGAUAGCGUGGGGAGCAGACAGG